rnacentral:rRNA from 1 species
CACGUGCAAAGGUAGCAUAAUCAAUUGUCCUUUAAUUGGGGACUAGAAUGAAUGGAUAAAUAAAAAUUAGCUAUUCAAUUUUUAUAAAUAAAAAUUUACCUUUAGAUGAAAAGGUCUAAAUCCUAAUAAAAGACCAGAAGACCCUAUAGAGCUUUAUCUUAAACUAUUUUAUAAAUUUUAAUAAGAUUUGGUUGGGGCAACCUAGGAAAUACUUCCUAUAAAUUAAUAGAACUAUAUUUUAUUUCUAAGAUAUAAAAAAUUAAGCUACCUUAGGGAUAACAGGCUAAUCUUAUUUUAUAGUCCACAUACACAAUAAGGUUUAGCACCUCGAUGUUGGCUUGGAAUUCCUAUUAA